GCGAAGAAGAUAAGGUUGCGAAGGAAAAGGCUUCUUCGGAAGUGCAAAUUGAGGAAGAAGGGUAGAUGGCCACCUUCGAAGAUGAAGAAAUUGAAGAAUGUAUGAUAAUCUAUGAAAACUAUUACUUUAAUUUCAAUUGGCUUUAUGCAGAUUUAAGCUUGUUCUCAUUUUAUUUUCACUGCAAUUGUUUUGCUAUCCAAC
rnacentral:lncRNA from 1 species